UUCCUACGGGACGCAGCAGUGGGGGAUAUUGCACAAUGGGGGGAACCCUGAUGCAGCGACGCCGCGUGGGUGAAGAAGCGCCUCGGCGCGUAAAGCCCUGUUAGCAGGGAAGAAAAUGACGGUACCUGAAGAAGAAGCCCCGGCUAACUACGUGCCAGCAGCCGCGGUAAUACGUAGGGGGCAAGCGUUAUCCGGAUUUACUGGGUGUAAAGGGAGCGUAGGCGGGGAUGCAAGUUGGGUGUCAAAACUACCGGCUCAACUGGUAGUCGCACUCAAAACUGCAGCUCUUGAGUGAAGUAGAGGCA
rnacentral:rRNA from 1 species